rnacentral:rRNA from 1 species
GCCUUAUCGGGGAGGAUAUCGCACGGAAACUUACGCUAAUACCGGAUACGACCUACGGGUGAAAGGGGAGGACCUACAGGUUUCGCGCGAUAAGACGAGCCGAUGUCCCAUUAUUUAUCCGGCGGGGUAAUGGCCCACCAAUGAGACGAUCCGAAUGUGGGCUGAGAGGAUGAGCCGACGCACUGGAACUGAGACACGGUCCACACUCCUACUGGAGGCACGAGUGGGGAAUAUUGGACAAUGGGCGGAAGCCUGAUCCCCUCAUGCCGCGUGAGUGAUCAAUGACUUCUGUCUGAAAAGCACUUGUGACCGGAAGGAAAAGCUUCGGGAUAAUACCCCGGGGCUCUGACCGCACCUGGAGAAUAAGCACCGGCUAACUUCGUGCCAGCAGUCGUGCGAAUACGAAGGGUGCAAGCGUUACUCGGAAUUACUGCUAGUAUACCGUGCGUAAUAGGGUGUUAAGUCUAGAUGACAUAGCUUGGGCUCAGCCUGCCAUUGCAUCGAAUACUGGUGCUUACACGCGGUAGAGGUGGUGGAAUUGCUGGUGUAGAUGGAAAUCUUCACACUCAUGAGCAACCUCUGUGUACAAGGUGCACUGCUGCACCGGACUGACACUGUCG